GGGUUGUGAGGUUAAGCGACUAAGCGUACACGGUGGAUGCCCUGGCAGUCAGAGGCGAUGAAGGACGUGCUAAUCUGCGAUAAGCGUCGGUAAGGUGAUAUGAACCGUUAUAACCGGCGAUUUCCGAAUGGGGAAACCCAGUGUGUUUCGACACACUAUCAUUAACUGAAUCCAUAGGUUAAUGAGGCGAACCGGGGGAACUGAAACAUCUAAGUACCCCGAGGAAAAGAAAUCAACCGAGAUUCCCCCAGUAGCGGCGAGCGAACGGGGAGCAGCCCAGAGCCUGAAUCAGUGUGUGUGUUAGUGGAAGCGUCUGGAAAGGCGCGCGAUACAGGGUGACAGCCCCGUACACAAAAAUGCACAUGCUGUGAGCUCGAUGAGUAGGGCGGGACACGUGGUAUCCUGUCUGAAUAUGGGGGGACCAUCCUCCAAGGCUAAAUACUCCUGACUGACCGAUAGUGAACCAGUACCGUGAGGGAAAGGCGAAAAGAACCCCGGCGAGGGGAGUGAAAAAGAACCUGAAACCGUGUACGUACAAGCAGUGGGAGCACGCUUCGGCGUGUGACUGCGUACCUUUUGUAUAAUGGGUCAGCGACUUAUAUUCUGUAGCAAGGUUAACCGAAUAGGGGAGCCGAAGGGAAACCGAGUCUUAACUGGGCGUUAAGUUGCAGGGUAUAGACCCGAAACCCGGUGAUCUAGCCAUGGGCAGGUUGAAGGUUGGGUAACACUAACUGGAGGACCGAACCGACUAAUGUUGAAAAAUUAGCGGAUGACUUGUGGCUGGGGGUGAAAGGCCAAUCAAACCGGGAGAUAGCUGGUUCUCCCCGAAAGCUAUUUAGGUAGCGCCUCGUGAAUUCAUCUCCGGGGGUAGAGCACUGUUUCGGCAAGGGGGUCAUCCCGACUUACCAACCCGAUGCAAACUGCGAAUACCGGAGAAUGUUAUCACGGGAGACACACGGCGGGUGCUAACGUCCGUCGUGAAGAGGGAAACAACCCAGACCGCCAGCUAAGGUCCCAAAGUCAUGGUUAAGUGGGAAACGAUGUGGGAAGGCCCAGACAGCCAGGAUGUUGGCUUAGAAGCAGCCAUCAUUUAAAGAAAGCGUAAUAGCUCACUGGUCGAGUCGGCCUGCGCGGAAGAUGUAACGGGGCUAAACCAUGCACCGAAGCUGCGGCAGCGACGCUGAUGCGUUGUUGGGUAGGGGAGCGUUCUGUAAGCCUGCGAAGGUGUGCUGUGAGGCAUGCUGGAGGUAUCAGAAGUGCGAAUGCUGACAUAAGUAACGAUAAAGCGGGUGAAAAGCCCGCUCGCCGGAAGACCAAGGGUUCCUGUCCAACGUUAAUCGGGGCAGGGUGAGUCGACCCCUAAGGCGAGGCCGAAAGGCGUAGUCGAUGGGAAACAGGUUAAUAUUCCUGUACUUGGUGUUACUGCGAAGGGGGGACGGAGAAGGCUAUGUUGGCCGGGCGACGGUUGUCCCGGUUUAAGCGUGUAGGCUGGUUUUCCAGGCAAAUCCGGAAAAUCAAGGCUGAGGCGUGAUGACGAGGCACUACGGUGCUGAAGCAACAAAUGCCCUGCUUCCAGGAAAAGCCUCUAAGCAUCAGGUAACAUCAAAUCGUACCCCAAACCGACACAGGUGGUCAGGUAGAGAAUACCAAGGCGCUUGAGAGAACUCGGGUGAAGGAACUAGGCAAAAUGGUGCCGUAACUUCGGGAGAAGGCACGCUGAUAUGUAGGUGAAGUCCCUCGCGGAUGGAGCUGAAAUCAGUCGAAGAUACCAGCUGGCUGCAACUGUUUAUUAAAAACACAGCACUGUGCAAACACGAAAGUGGACGUAUACGGUGUGACGCCUGCCCGGUGCCGGAAGGUUAAUUGAUGGGGUCAGCGCAAGCGAAGCUCUUGAUCGAAGCCCCGGUAAACGGCGGCCGUAACUAUAACGGUCCUAAGGUAGCGAAAUUCCUUGUCGGGUAAGUUCCGACCUGCACGAAUGGCGUAAUGAUGGCCAGGCUGUCUCCACCCGAGACUCAGUGAAAUUGAACUCGCUGUGAAGAUGCAGUGUACCCGCGGCAAGACGGAAAGACCCCGUGAACCUUUACUAUAGCUUGACACUGAACAUUGAGCCUUGAUGUGUAGGAUAGGUGGGAGGCUUUGAAGUGUGGACGCCAGUCUGCAUGGAGCCGACCUUGAAAUACCACCCUUUAAUGUUUGAUGUUCUAACGUUGACCCGUAAUCCGGGUUGCGGACAGUGUCUGGUGGGUAGUUUGACUGGGGCGGUCUCCUCCUAAAGAGUAACGGAGGAGCACGAAGGUUGGCUAAUCCUGGUCGGACAUCAGGAGGUUAGUGCAAUGGCAUAAGCCAGCUUGACUGCGAGCGUGACGGCGCGAGCAGGUGCGAAAGCAGGUCAUAGUGAUCCGGUGGUUCUGAAUGGAAGGGCCAUCGCUCAACGGAUAAAAGGUACUCCGGGGAUAACAGGCUGAUACCGCCCAAGAGUUCAUAUCGACGGCGGUGUUUGGCACCUCGAUGUCGGCUCAUCACAUCCUGGGGCUGAAGUAGGUCCCAAGGGUAUGGCUGUUCGCCAUUUAAAGUGGUACGCGAGCUGGGUUUAGAACGUCGUGAGACAGUUCGGUCCCUAUCUGCCGUGGGCGCUGGAGAACUGAGGGGGGCUGCUCCUAGUACGAGAGGACCGGAGUGGACGCAUCACUGGUGUUCGGGUUGUCAUGCCAAUGGCACUGCCCGGUAGCUAAAUGCGGAAGAGAUAAGUGCUGAAAGCAUCUAAGCACGAAACUUGCCCCGAGAUGAGUUCUCCCUGACCCUUUAAGGGUCCUGAAGGAACGUUGAAGACGACGACGUUGAUAGGCCGGGUGUGUAAGCGCAGCGAUGCGUUGAGCUAACCGGUACUAAUGAACCGUGAGGCUUAACCUUACAACGCCGAAG
rnacentral:rRNA from 1 species